CAGGAGCUCAGCAUGGCUGCCUCUUGCAGGAAACAGACGUUUCACGUAUUAAUAGCUCCCGGGCUGCAGGCCCUCGACAUUACGUGGACCAUGUGACGGGUGAUGUCUGCAGUGAUGGGAAACAGGAACUAUUAAUUAUCUCAUCUAUUAUAAGAGCGCAAUUACCUUGAAAGAACAGAUAAUGAUCUAUGAGAAGAGGAGGCCGAAUCAUGGAAGGGGCUCCAAUCUGCCCGUCGUACGUCUUCUCCGGGUUCCACUCUGUGGCUACAAAUCCUGAUGGCCGAUA